GAUGAUGAUGAUGAUGAUGUAAUAAAUACAGUGAGGUUCCAGAGUUCAAGGACAUUUUCACAAGUCAUUACUGUCUUCCCUUCCCCUCGUUCAGUUCUAUAGAUUGAACUCAAGGCUUGGUGCAUGCUAGGCAGUCAUUCUACCACUGAGUACAAUCCCGGGUACCUCCUGGCUUGAAAUCACCUAAUGCAUAUGCGAACGUAGCUAACAUCACAAACCACUUCAGAGCCUUCUGUAUAUCGUGACUCAGAUGAUGCCAGCUAAAACCGAACCACACAAAGAACAUUUAUUUCAGUCUCACUCCAGGAUCUGAACAGAUUCCGAUCUUUUCAGCUUUGCCGACGUAUGAAGAACUGGAACUGUGCGUUUUUAAGACAUUUGAGAGGUACAGCUCGAUGUUCGGGUAUGUGUCUACAUUACGAGGUGACCGCCACGGUCAAACUAUUAACAUAUCUGUCACCUCACAGAAUUUCCAUGUUCUGUGCUGCCUGGAGUGAGAACAUUUAAGAAAAUUUCUAGGCUAUGACACAAUAUUGUCAAGUGUCGCCGCUCACCAGGCUAACAGAAGCAUAGCCAUAAGCGGUGGGCAUGGCAGUAGGAAUAGACAGCUGAGAGUCUCAGGCAUGAAGCAGAGAGAGAAAACCGGAAGUGGCAUGAAGUUUUAAACUCUUAAAGCCUGCCUCCAGCGAUGUACUUCCUCCCACAAGGCUAUACAUUCUGUAACCCCUCCAAAAAGCACCAUCAACUGAGGGCCCCCUGUUCCGACAUCUAUGGAGGAUAUUCCGAGUCUAUGGAGGAUAGAUAUUGUCACCAAACCACCAUAGGGUUGUAUCUUAGAUUCCACACAGACGUGAUAUCAAGUCAUAUUUAUUGUGCAGAGUCUGGCUCAUCACCGUAAGGUGCCCAGGAUCAUCCACAUGGAAACAUCUAGACUGUCAGGAAGGCAGACAUUUUAGUUAUAAUCCCAGCGCGUUGGCUUGGACCCUGGAAUGCGUUUCAGGACAUGCGGAUCCCCAGCUGAGUGUGAGGUGCCUCCCAUGAUACCCAGACUGAUGCUGGAUGUGUUUGUAGUUUGGGGGAGGUUCAGGUACGUUAGACUGUUCUGUCUUUCUCCAGCUUAGCAUAAGAACCCUUUCCUCUGGUGUGGGAGUAUGAAGAUCCACCUGUAUUGCUGCCCCUUAAAUCAUUUUUGUCCAUGGAACCUCAAUACAUUAUUCUUCGUGCCAUCCUGGAUCCAUCUGUCUGUUUUUGGUUUCAUGGUACCUUCUAUCUUCAUGGCCAGUUCUUGCCAGGACUGGGUUAUUCUGAAAUAUCAUGAUGUCACCAAUAACAAGGUCCUUGGCAAGGUCCCAGUGUCUGUAUGUAUAGUCUCUCUCUGUCUCUGUCUCUCUGUCUCUGUCUCUGUGAGUGUCUUCUCAAGGACCACCUAGAGAACUCUGCAUACUAGACAAGCACUCUACCUGUGAACUAUAACCACACCCCUAUGCCACGUUUGAAAAACAAUACAAGUUUCAGUUGGGAAAUCGAACACCUGUGAUGGGAGCAUUCAGAAGACUGAGGAGGAGUUCAAGGUCAGCCUGAGCCAAGCUUGGAGACUCUCACUCAAAAACAAAAACAAAAACAAAAACAGAAAGAGUUCUAUGGAUCUUUGAAAUUCUAACCAGUAAUAAAACCUCUUACACACACACACACACACACACACACACACACACACACACACACACACACACACACGAAUACACUUGCACUCCACCAAAUCAAAUUAAAUACAUACAGCCAGCAAACAAAUCGCUAGUGGCUGGCUGGAUGAUUAACCCAUAGAUGGUUGGAAAUGUUGAAGCAAAUCACAGAAAAGGGCCCUCCCCCAGACUAACCAAAAGGGUUAGCUUCCUUGACUUCCUCCUACCAAAAGGGCUCUGUUUAAUUUUCACAUCCCCACAUCUGGUGUCCUUUGAUGAAGUAUGUCGUCUGCUCUUCAAAACUUCCCUGCUGGUAAAAGACCAUGCAUUUAUUUUUAAAUACAUUCAUAAUUUCUGCUCUAUAGGAAUAAACUAUGCCUCUGGGAAAGAUGCGCAUUGCAUGGAUCCACUGCGUGAAGAACAUCUGGAAAGGGCCAGAGAGAACACAUCACAUCAUUCCUGUCAUCCUUGUCAACACUGCCAUCCCCGAUGCUGAUGCGGUCCUCCUCCCUGGGUGUGGUACAGGCAUGCAAUCUUGACGUUCAGGAUGGUGAGGGAGAACUGCUUUCUCCUGACCUCAAUCUUUUCAGCCUCUUAUGUAAGGGCUUGGCUUGAAUGCAGAGUGAAAAGAUGGUCCUGUGCUGUUCUGACUGGUGCGUCGUGUCUCUAAAUAAACAUGCUAAACGAUCA
rnacentral:sRNA from 1 species